rnacentral:rRNA from 1 species
UUUCCGUAGGUGAACCUGCGGAAGGAUCAUUGUCGAAACUUGCAAAGCAGAAUGACCAGCGAACUCGUUGUUAAAAAUCCUGGACGGGUCGGACACAGAUGUGGCCCUUGGUCCUUUGUGUGAUGGCCUCGUCUUGUGGGAUUUGUUUGGCCCUAGUGGCCUUUCCUUCCCGCACAAACUAACAAUCCCCGACGCGGCAUGCGUCAAGGAAUACUUUGAGCGACUGUCUCGCCUUGUGCUCGGUCACGGUGCAUUGGGCGGGGUGAUCCACCACAUAAUUUACUAUAAUGACUCUCGGCAACGGAUAUCUCGGCUCUCGCAUCGAUGAAGAACGUAGCGAAAUGCGAUACUUGUUGUGAAUUGCAGAAUCCCGUGAACCAUCGAGUUUUUGAACGCAAGUUGCGCCCGAAGCCAUUUGGCUGAGGGCACGUCUGCCUGGGUGUCACGCAAUGUCGCCCCAUCCCUGCUAUAGGAGGGGAGCGGAUGAUGGCCUCCCGGGGGGUCUCUCUCUUGAGCCUCGCGGCUGGUCGAAAAGAAAGUCGUCGGCCUAGGACGCCGUUGCGAGCUGUGGUUGAAAUUACACUAGAGUCUCGUUGGCUGCGUGCGCUCUUGGGUCGAGGACACCAUGAUGGACCCCGAUGAUCGAUUGGACCUUCGAAAUGCGACCCCAGGUCAGGCGGGAACACCCGCUGAGUUUAA